rnacentral:rRNA from 1 species
UGCCUACGGGAGGCAGCAGUGGGGAAUAUUGGGCAAUGGGCGCAAGCCUGACCCAGCAACGCCGCGUGAAGGAAGAAGGCUUUCGGGUUGUAAACUUCUUUUGUCAGGGACGAAGCAAGUGACGGUACCUGACGAAUAAGCAUCGGCUAACUCCGUGCCAGCAGCCGCGGUAAUACGGGGGAUGCGAGCGUUAUCCGGAUUUAUUGGGUUUAAAGGGUGCGUAGGCGGCGCUUCAGGUCAGCGGUGAAAUACCGGGGCUCAACCCCGGGGCUGCCGUUGAAACCGGAGCGCUAGAAUUCCGAUGC